CAUCACUGGUGUUCGGGUUGUCAUGCCAAUGGCACUGCCCGGUAGCUAAAUGCGGAAGAGAUAAGUGCUGAAAGCAUCUAAGCACGAAACUUGCCCCGAGAUGAGUUCUCCCUGAGACCUUGAGUCUCCUGAAGGAACGUUGAAGACGACGACGUUGAUAGGUCGGGUGUGUAAGCGCAGCGAUGCGUUGAGCUAACCGAUACUAAUGAACCGUGAGGCUUAACCUU
rnacentral:rRNA from 1 species